rnacentral:rRNA from 1 species
AUUGAACGCUGGCGGCAGGCCUAACACAUGCAAGUCGAACGAGUGGCGGACGGGUGAGUAAUGUCUGGAAAACUGCUCGAUGGCUGGGGAUAACUACUGGAACCGGUAGCUAAUCCCGCAUACCAUCGGAUGUGCCCAGAUGGGAGUAGCUAGUAGGUGGGGUAACGGCUCACCUAGGCGACGAUCCCUAGCUGGUCUGAGAGGAUGACCAGCCACACUGGAACUGAGACACGGUCCAGACUCCUACGGGAGGCAGCAGUGGGGAAUAUUGCACAAUGGGCGCAAGCCUGAUGCAGCCAGGCCGCGUGUAUGAAGAAGGCCUUCGGGUUGUAAAGUACUUUCAGCGAGGAGGCGUUACUCGCAGAAGAAGCACCGGCUAACUCCGUGCCAGCAGCCGCGGUAAUAC